rnacentral:tRNA from 1 species
GUUAAUUUGGCAGAUUAGUGCAUUAAAUUUAGAAUUUAAUAAAGUAAUGUUUUACAGUUAAUA